CCUACGGGAGGCAGCAGUUUCGAAUCAUUCACAAUGGGCGCAAGCCUGAUGGUGCGACGCCGCGUGAGGGAUGAAGGCCUUCGGGUUGUAAACCUCUGUCACCGGGGAAGAAACGCUUCAAGUUAACAGCUUGAAGCCUGACUUAACCCCGGAGAGGAAGCAGUGGCUAACUCUGUGCCAGCAGCCGCGGUAAUACAGAGACUGCAAGCGUUAUUCGGAUUCACUGGGCGUAAAGGGUGCGCAGGCGGUUGGGUGUGUCAGAUGUGAAAUCCCGAGGCUCAACCUCGGAACUGCGUCUGAAACUACUCGACUAGAGUACUGGAGAGGGUAACGGAAUUCACGGUGUAGCAGUGAAAUGCGUAGAUAUCGUGAGGAACACCAGAGGCGAAGGCGGUUAACCUGGACAGUUACUGACGCUCAGGCACGAAAGCAUGGGGAGCAAAAGGGAUUAGAUACCCCUGUAAGUCCAUGCCUAAACGGUGCACACUAGGUCUUGGCGGAUUCGACCCACUAGGGCCCAAGCUAAACGNGUUAACGUGUGCGCCUGNGAGUUACGUUCGCGAGAACGUAAACGAACAAGAGAGUUAGAGGCGNGAGAGNGCGAGACGACGACGAGGAGGAGG
rnacentral:rRNA from 1 species